rnacentral:rRNA from 1 species
CAAUAGCGUAUAUUAAAGUUGUUGCAGUUAAAAAGCUCGUAGUUGAAUUUUUGCUUGCCGCCGAUGUCGGAACUUCCGUACGUUCGGCGGCGUGCAUCCUUGGGUGGAACCUGUGUGGCAUUAGGUUGUCGUGCAGGGGAUGCUCAUCGUUUACUGUGAAAAAAUUAGAGUGUUCAAAGCAGGCUUACGCCGUUGAAUAUAUUAGCAUGGAAUAAUAAGAUAGGACCUUGGUACUAUUUUGUUGGUUUGCGCACCGAGGUAAUGAUUAACAGGGACAGUUGGGGGUAUUCGUAUUCCAUUGUCAGAGGUGAAAUUCUUGGAUUUUUGAAAGACGAACUACUGCGAAAGCAUUUACCAAGGAUGUUUNCAUUA